rnacentral:lncRNA from 1 species
UGGGAUUAAAGUCCACCUGAGAUUUCUCGUGUUAAGAUACCCAAUUCCCACCUAAUAUGACGUUAGGUGCUGAAUUCAAUGUGGAAAGCUUAACAUCUAGAAAUUGGAACACAUUAGUAGCAUCAUCCCAAGGUGCAAGAAUAAAGAGCUACCUAUAUGAGCAUGAAGUUUAGCCGCUUCAAGAAGCUAGGACUUGGCUUUGAUAUGUUCAUUGAAGGAUGGGACACAGGCUAGUAAAAAUAGUGUCAAGAAAGAACAUUAGAGUAUGUAAACUUGUGUGUAUAUUAUCUUCAUGUAUUCACUGAAUAGAAAGGGUUCAAUCCUUAGCGACACCCCUAUAUUCGAAUAUUUGGAAUGUGUAAUAUACUAAGGUGAAAUUCAAUCGUCGCGAUAUUUCAUUUAUGCAUAAGUUUGAUUUGUUGUGAAUUUGUUAAGUUAAUCAAGGAUUACGCUAAAAUGGGGGAGGAAUGUUAGAUAGUUUAGUGUAAUCG